CCAGACCUAUUUUGUAUUUUAUUUAGAGACAGGGUCUCAUUGAAUUGCUUAGAGCUUUGCUUUUGCUGAGGCUGGCUUUGAACUCAAAAUUCUCCUGCCUUAGCCUCCUGAGCCAUUGGGAUUAUAGGCUUGUGCCACCACGUCUGGCUACGAAGCCACAUUUUUACAAGAUAAAAUGAGAUGGGUGCUAUGGCAAUCCCAGUGUCCCUAGAGGCUGAUGCAGGAGGAUGGCAAGUUCAAGACCAGCCUCAGCAAUUUAGUGAAAGUUCUGUCUCAAAAUAAAAGUUUAAAAAAGGCUAAGGGUGUAGCUCAGUGGUAGAAGUCAAUCCCUAGUACCAAAAAAAAGGGGGGUGGGGUUAAAAGUGACUGAAAUUAAUCAUACUAACAGCACAGUUGGUAUUCAAAAUAUCUCAACAUGGAAAUAACUUACAGAAUUAACCAGAGAUAUUUUACUUUUUUUUUAUACUUCUAGUACAUCUCAGUUUGGGCUAGUUGCAUUUUUAGUUUUCAGGAGCCGCAUGUGGCUAAUGGCUCCCAUUUGGACAGCAUAGUUUUGGUCCUUUGCCCCUUCCUCCCAAGUGAGGGGCUCUCAUGUAUCGGUGCUGCCUGGCCAGAGAAGAAAGAAAUACAUACGCAUAUAGAUUAUAUAUGUAUAUAUGUACCUCUAGAGAACAGAUAUAGCCACAGGAGAAAUACAGCCACAAAAAAAGUACAAGGGAUUUGAUAUGGGUUGCAGUUAAAGGUACAUGCCCAGUAACCCAUGAGAGUGCUAUAUAUCAAUUAAGGUGGGAUUAUAGGCUGCAGAGCAGAAAACGACUGAGGGAAAGUUGCAAGAGGACAGAGAUAAACCCCUUUUUGAAAUUUUCACACCCCAUCAUAAUACAGGUCCCUGGCUGCACAAAAUCUGAGACUUCUAGGGUAGAAGACAUCAAUUAUUAAGCCUCUUUAGUUUAUUUCUUAAUUGAGAAAAAAUAAGAUGUGAAGAUAAAAAUCACUGAGAGAAGCUGGCCAGGCAGAGGGCCAUGACCCAGUCUCAUUUAUUAGAAGGGGACUGAACCAGAUCUGUCCUUGGACUGUCCAGCCCUGGGGCCUUUUCAUAGGAGUCCUAGCUGAGUAGGUCGGACUGACUGAGCUAGCAGGCAACAAAAAUUUCUUGAGAGCCUCAGCCCCUUAUCCAGCCGAGUAACACAUAAGCAAUUCUGUCCACUGGAAAAGUCUUCAGUUCUAAUUCACUGGCAAACACGAAAAAACAAGGACAAACUAAUUUUGCUAGUUAUGUGUGCAUACAGACAAGUUGACAAAUGGAAAUCAUGAGAAAAUUCAUUACUUCCUUUCUGCAGUUUGAUUUGGGUGUGAUAAAUAAGUUACCUUGCCUUCACGAAGAGACCCGAGUACCAUUCUUGAGAGGUGCUGUCCUCGAUACUUCAUUCCAGUGCACUUGGGCUCUUAAUUAGCCACUUAGGGUUGUUGUGAUCUUAUGUCGAAGAAGCAGGCGAGAAUCUGGAAACAUUCGAGAAAGGAACUAAUCCUGUGCUCGUGGGGAUGAGGCACUUUAACUGCUCAUUUUUGCAGACACGGAAUAGCAGAGACACAAGCAAACAAAGCCAGUUCUCUGUACACUGGAAAACUGGGAAAUUUCUCUAAAUUACUGCUUUCAGGACCACCCCCCAUCCCCCAACAGAGAACAUUCCUCAGAUGACCUGGGGCACAGUGCCGGUAUAGGGAUUUUUUACUUUUAUUUUUUUAUUUUUGUGUGUAACCAUAAUGGUUUAUUACAUACAUGAAAAGUUGAAUUUCAUAUUAUUUCAUUGGAGAGAUGAGAGAAGAGAAAACUUUAACUAAAACCUUUUUAAAAUUCUAAGAUAGUAUAAAGCAAUUUUCAGCAGCAUUUACUGUGGGAUACUUGUUUUGAGAUAAGCUUGUUUUCUGGACAACUGUCACUGUUGAUCAGAUCAUAGAUUAAAAUUAGAAAUGGAAAUUUUAAAAAAUUCAGCUAUUCUGUAGCCAGUUGCUAUCUAGAUGACUUUGAUGGAGGUAGAGAGACCUUAAGGAUAUACCUGGAAUUGUAGGUGUGAACUUUACCAAGGUGCCAGAGUCCCCUAAAGAGACCUUUAUAGAGAGAGCAAAGUUCUGCCUAGAGCUGUGGGUGCAGGAAUUUUUAAAAGCUCUCCAGGUAAUUUGAAUGUACAAGAUCGAAACUUUCUAGCAUAAGAGAGUGUUUCCAUUACCUUUCCUGCCCAUGAAGUCGUAAAGAAAUGAGAUCCUGAAAAAUUCUUACAGGGAAAGAGGCCAGGCUGUAUCAUUAUUGAGUGAAAGAAACAGGAAAGGACCUCAGAAAGACAUUCCAUUGACAGAAAAACCCAGAAAGAGCCCAGCAAGAUGGUGCACGCGUGCAAUCCCACCCAUUCAGCAGGCUGAGGCAGGAGGAUCACAAGUUUGAGGCCAGCCCAGGCAACUUAGCGAGACACUGUCUCAAAAUAAAGAAGGGUUAGAAAUGUAGUUUAGUGGUAGAUUCAAUCGGUAGUAUUGAGGAAAAGAAAGAAAGAAAAAAAAAAAAAAACAGGAAGGCAUGUUAGAGCCGAAGAGGACCGGAGUGAAGAAGGCUGGAACAUCACAGUAUAAAUCCUCUUUGAUGCCAGGAGAGGUCCCUGGGCCAGAACUGCCAACAGCCUAUUUGCAAUCCCGAGGGGCUGUGGUCCUGCCCUUUCCUGGUAUCAAAGUGAACUGAUUUCAUGCUAUUAUGAGAACCUGCCUUCUCCUACUUGCUGUUCUUUAUAUGCAAUUCAGAGGUGCUGGGGAAAUACCUGUGCGGUCAGCUGGCCUGUCCUGCUAGCCUCCAACACACAUGCACUCAGCACAUGCCUCACUGCAUAGAGAAGACAGAAGCUGUAAGAAGAGAAUGACCUCAUCUUCUCCAAUCUACAAACCCACAUUCAAUCACACCCAUCUCUUUUGAAAAAUUAUAACAACAAAACACAUCAUUUCAUAUCUGUAAACUAAUUUAACCUUCCUAAACAAUCCUUUGAGGUAAUUGCUAUUGUCCCCAUUUGCAGAUCAGGAAACAGAGACUCGAACUUGUCAUUUUCACAGAGGAUUUUCCUCUUUUCAGUCUGAAUUAGAUUCUUCUAUUAUAUGUUCCCAAGGCUUCCUCUGUUUUUCCUUCAUAGCAUGAUAGUUGAAGACCACUUAGUGAUUAUCUGUUUAAUACACUUGCUCUUAGACCACAGCCCCCCUGAGGACAGCUCUGUGGCGUACCAUGUAUCCACUGUGUCCAGCAAAGAGCCUGACAUAUAAGAAGUGCUCAAGAAGGAUUUGUUGAGUGAAUGAAUGAAUGAAUGAAUGAAUGCUGGGCCACAGGCUGUGGCACCUACUAGCCAGCAAUACUGACCACUCACACACAGAAUUGCCUGUUGGCUGACCCUGAAGUUGGACCUGCCAGUUGACAUGCAGCUGUUCGGUGGUGUCCACAGUCAGCAUCAGCUGCAAAGUCAGGACUGCAAGGCACCGAUUAUGUGGCCCUGUGCUGGCGGCCUCUAAGUCUAGCAUUUCCACUUACCAGCCUUGUAAUACGGGGAGUUUUGCUGGAAGCACAGUAAAUGCCUCCCCCUGGUAGGGCCUUACGGUUCAUAGCAGGUGGGAAGUCAGUGUUCAGAGUUUCUCUAAAGCUUCCCUUGGAAGACUUGGAGUUAAGCUCACACCCCACUCAGCAGUGCUGGGUGUUGUGCAUCCAUCAAGAGAGCCGUGUUUGAGCUUAGAACCUGAGGAUCCUGGAAUUCCCACAGAUGAGAAAAGUGAGGGCCCCAGAGGUUCAGGACAAGCCAAAGGUCACACAGAUCCAGGACUUCAACCCAGAGAUCCUAAUUGCUAUGUCUCCAUUUAUUACUGAUAUUUUAAAACUAGAUUUAUGGGAGAGAUAAAGGAGUUAUGGAAAGCAGAAGAGGCAGCUCAUUUGUUUUGGAUUAGUGAAGUUCAGUCCUCAUCAUGAGCUCUGCAUGGAGUUUGUCAUCAAGCAGGAGGGAGAUGAGAUUCCAAGAAAAUAUAGAUGCAAAGGGCUCAUGAUGUGAUGGGGAACAGGGAGAAGUUCAUUAUCACAGGUCUGAUAGGAACCCAGAGUGAGAGAAGUCCCCUCCAGUGUCAGCAUUCUGAUGCCAUAAUGGAGACAGCUUCUCGCUCUCCCGUGAUAAAGAGUAGCCAGAGACAACCCCAACACUGGCGGGCCUGAAGAGCUACCCCCUUGCCUCAGCUGUUCUCUUGUAACUCUGUUGCAAACUCUUUCAGCAUCGUGGCCUAUAAACAAGUCCUAUGGUUGCAAUAUGGAAACACGACUGAGAAAUGAAGGCACUGACCUGCAGAAGCUGAAAACACCAGCCAUGGCCAAGUUCCCUUGAAGACAAGGAAGGGUCCAGAGAACUGGUGACCAAAGCAAACUCACUGCCCAAGAAACGCGAGUCCCAGCCAGAAUCAGCCUCUGAAUGAUCUGCUCUGGCUCAGGGGUCCCUGGUGGGUGGAAUAAGCACUUUCUGAGUGAUAGAAGAACUUUCUUAGCUUUCAGAUGCCCAUUAGGCAGAGGUUAGGUUCUGUGGGUGCAGGCUGUGUGCACAGCCAUCCCAGGCCCUAGAGGGCAGCUGCAGCCAGCGGGCACCCUUUCUUCUGGGGAUUGUCUUGAGGGCACCAACACAGGCUGACUGGUCACUUGGGUGCUGUGCUAGAAGUCCCACGGGAGAACCAAAGGCCUUCAUUUUCAACAGCCCGGGGGAAUGUGAGAGGGGUAUUUUACAAGAACUUGCAACAGUUUUGUGUAAACAAUAGUACCUUUCAAAUUAAAAUAAAACCUUGAAAAAAAAAGUUAGCUUUCUUUCCUGAGGCCUUGUUAGCUGAACACUCAGGAGAGAAAUGGAGCUCAGGCCGGAGGGCAAUGUUCCCUCCUCACUGUUGCUUUUAAGAAACAAUUUUAAGAGCUUCCUUAGUGGAAUAUUCAAUUGAAUAUUUUCAGUCACCGAUACCUCCCAAAGCAGAAGUAUGAAGGGAAAGGGGAUAUGAGAAGAACCACUUUAUUCUGAAUUAUUUUUUAUUGUCCAUUUUACUUAC
rnacentral:lncRNA from 1 species